rnacentral:misc_RNA from 1 species
GAUGAAGAACGCAGCGAAAUGCGAUAAGUAAUGUGAAUUGCAGAAUCCAGUGAAUCAUCGAAUCUUUGAACGCACCUUGCGCCCCCUGGUAUUCCGGGGGGCAUGCCUGUCCGAGCGUCAUUACAACCCUCAAGCUCAGCUUGGUGUUGGGCCCCGCCGCCCCGGCGGGCCCUAAAGUCAGUGGCGGUGCCGUCCGGCUCCGAGCGUAGUAAUUCUUCUCGCUCUGGAGGUCCGGUCGUGUGCUCGCCAGCAACCCCCAAUUUUUUUCAGGUUGACCUCGGAUCAGGUAGGGAUACCCGCUGAACUUAAGCAUAUCAAUAAGCGGAGGA